ACAUUCGGUUAUCUCUAACGUUGGAAAACGGUGGGUAGCUUUCCAGUUGCCGUUAAUUUAGAAAAUAAGCAAAACGUGUUGAAAAAAUAAAACCCUGCCAGAUGGAGCUAACACCCAUUAUGGAGAUUAACCACUUUUCAUCAGGUUUUUAACUUAAGUCGUGAGGAAUACAACGGUGAACACAAGAUUCAUUUUAUUUUCAUCACCAUGGGACGUAUCCUGUUGUUGAGUUCUCUGGGUCAGACCUCUGAAGACUUCUCAGAUGGAUCCUAGUCUCUGGGCUUGCCCUGAAAUUACUCGCUGCUCAGGGAGAGAGUUGAAAUGGUUGGCAUCCUCCCACUCUGUUGCUCCGGCUGUGUCCCCUCGCUCUGUUGUUCCAGCUAUGUGCCCUCUGUUGCUCCAACUGCAGCUCAUUCUGUUAGAGUUCCUCAUUCAGCUGGUCACUGUGGCCAGAGGGUGUUGGCCUGCUCCCUUCCUCAAGUAUUCUUAAAGCCAUGGAUUUUUGUGGAGCAUUUUUCUUCCUGGCUCUCCCUUGAGUUAUUUUCCUUUCUUCGCUAUCUUGGGACUCUUCUUUGUGCUUGCGGUCAUCGGUUGAGAGAAGGACUUCUUCUUCCUUGUCUCCUUGGUGUUGGCUCGUGGUUGCUCUUCAACAACUGGACUGGAGGCUCUUGGUUUUCUCUUCAUCUUCAACAAGUCAGUCUCUCUCAAGGGUCUCACGUUGCAGCAUUCUUACCAGAGGCCAUUGGGCCUGGAGUUCCAGUUCCAGUGUCUGGAGAGUCCACCUCAGCUCAGCAAUCUCAUGCCGGUUGGCAAUUGUCAGCAGAAGCCGAUGCCUGCCCAUCAGUUCUUUACUCUGAGGUGUUAGAGUGGAAUAAAAAUAUAAAUACUUAUACUAGUUUUCAUGACUUCUGCUUAAUAUUGGGUAUUUUUUUGUUUUGUUUUGUUUUGGCGGUGAUAGGCUUACCUUACAUUAAACCAGGCCUUAGCCUUUCUGUGGCUUUGUUAUGGCAAAGCCUCAUAUUACUCUCUAGUCUGGUUCAGCAGGACAGUCAGGUCCACACCUGGGGCUGUUUGUUUUCUACGUUUACCUCAACAUAAGGUACCUUAUCAUUGUCAGCCUUCAUCUCCUGAUCCAAAAUAAAAUAAAAUGCCACAGGUUACUUG
rnacentral:lncRNA from 1 species